rnacentral:rRNA from 1 species
CCGGCGCACGGGUGAGUAACACGUAUGCAACCUGGCCGUCACAGGUGGAUAACCGGAAGAAAUUCCGACUAAUACAGCAUAACACUCCUGAGGGACAUCCUUCGGGAGUCAAAGGAGGCAACUCCGGUGACGGAUGGGCAUGCGGCGCAUUAGGUAGUUGGUAGGGUGACGGCCUACCAAGCCGACGAUGCGUAGGGGUUCUGAGAGGAAGGUCCCCCACAUUGGAACUGAGACACGGUCCAAACUCCUACGGAAGGCAGCAG